ACAUGCAAGUCGAGCGAGAUUUCUUUCUGUAGCAAUACAGGAAGAAGUCUAGCGGCGAACGGGUGCGUAACACGUGGGCAAUCUGCCUUAAAGUGGGGGAUAGCUCGCCGAAAGGCGAAUUAGUACCGCAUGUGGCUACCGGAGACAUCUUCGGGACGCUAAAGCCGGGGCAACCUGGCGCUUUUUGAGGAGCCCGCGGCCUAUCAGCUUGUUGGUGGGGUAACGGCUCACCAAGGCGUUGACGGGUAGCUGGUCUGAGAGGACGACCAGUCACACUGGAACUGAGACACGGUCCAGACACCUACGGGUGGCAGCAGUCGAGAAUUUUUCUCAAUGGGGGAAACCCUGAAGGAGCGACGCCGCGCGGAGGAUGAAGGUCUUCGGGUUGUAAACUCCUGUCAUUUGGGAACAAUGGUUACGCGUUAACUGCGCGUGACUUGAUAGUACCAGAAGAGGAAGAGACGGCUAACUCUGUGCCAGCAGCCCGCGGUAAUACAGAGGUCUCAAGCGUUGUUCGGAUUCAUUGGGCGUAAAGGGUGCGUAGGUGGCGCGGUAAGUCGGGUGUGAAAUCUCGGAGCUUAACUCCGAAACUGCAUUCGAUACUGCCGUGCUUGAGGACUGAGGAGGAGACUGGAAUUUACGGUGUAGCAGUGAAAUGCGUA
rnacentral:rRNA from 1 species